rnacentral:rRNA from 1 species
AACGCGAAGAUCCUUACCUGGGUUUGACAUGGCGGGAAAAGCCACAGAGAUGUGGUGUCCUUUUGGGCCCGUCACAGGUGGUGCAUGGCUGUCGUCAGCUCGUGUCGUGAGAUGUUGGGUUAAGUCCCGCAACGAGCGCAACCCUUAUCCUAUGUUGCCAGCGCGUAAUGGCGGGGACUCGUAGGAGACUGCCGGGGUCAACUCGGAGGAAGGUGGGGAUGAGGUCAAGUCAUCAUGCCCCUUAUGUCCAGGGCUGCAAACAUGCUACAAUGGCCGGUACAAAGGGCUGCGAGACCGCGAGGUUGAGCGAAUCCCAUAAAGCCGGUCUCAGUUCGGAUCGGAGUCUGCAACUCGACUCCGUGAAGCUGGAGUUGCUAGUAAUCCCGGAUCAGCAACGCCGGGGUGAAUACGUUCCCGGGUCUUGUACACACCG